UAUAUAUAUAUAUAUAUAUAUAUAUAAAUAAAAUGAUGAAAUACAAGAAAUAAAAACAAAACUUUUGCAUAUCUGAGAUUUUUUACCCACUAUAGAAACGCAAAUCCAGUGUGACUAUACUGUAAUUAAUAUACUGAAUUUAUGUUACAUAUUAUUACAACAUUAAAAAAAAAAAAAGAGAGAGAAAGACAAAAAGUAAUGGACAUAAUGUUGAUUACUACAUAACUCUGUUACUAAAAAAAAAAAUAAACAAUCACACUGCAUUCUCACUAGAACAUUAGAAGCAGUUGAGUGUAUAUGAAGACAUUAGAAUAUAAUAUUAUUUACAGUGCAUAGUCUGAAGCUGCCUAUUGUAUUUACCGGUAAGAGCACUGGGCAGGAAAAAAUGCUGCUGUGUAAAACUCCCAUUGGUUUUGAUCAAUAAUCUACACCUUUCCCACUCUUAUUCCAGUUUAAAAUGAUCAAUAUUGAUUACAUUUCAGACGUUCUGUUAGUUAAGUAAAUAUCUAGGAUUAGAAAAAUACAUUUGUCGUCACAUAUUCGUAGUGUCAUUUCAUCGUGGUCAUCCAGUAGGCAUCAUAUGCAUGCUUCAUGACGUAUUUCAUGCUUCUCCCUUGACAGUCUACUAUGGCUUAGUUUAUUGCUUGAAAAUAUUGCAUACAGGUCUUGCGAAUCUGUAGUACACGUUAUUAACUCUAAGAGCAGAAAAAAAGGAGCAAAAUUCUAGCUAGAAAACAGUGCUAAAUUGAAAGGUUUACAUAAAGGUAGAAGACGCUUUGCCUUUGUAAGACAUGUAUGCUUUUUUUAUACAGAAAAACACAACUUUGGAAUGGAAAGUUGCUAAAACGAUAAAGAGAUUUUAAAAAAAUAAAAUAAACAGAAAGUCAGGAAAAGGCCAUGACAUCCACAAAUGUGUUUAUAAAUGGAUAAGAAAUCUAACGAAAUUAAUAACACUUACAAGUAGUAAAACAGUUUUUUUUUUUUUUUUUUUACAUUUAUAUUGACAAUUAUUUUUUUAUUUACCAUUUGAACACAGUUGUGUUUUUGAAGGCAAUAUGUUUUUGUUUUCUUUUAACAAAGAAAUAAUUACUUCAUAAUUAAACCAUAUACCAUUAUAAUCCAGUGUUUCUGAGACAGUAGACACUGAGUGGGUUUGUUCCAGUGUGUUUAUGCAGUGUGUUCCAGUUUCUUUUUUUUAUUUAAAUUAAAUCCAGUGAUUUCCUUUAAGGUCCAGUGAUUCAUUAUAUACUAUAAUAGCAUGGAUUCAGUGGCUCAUACUUACCAUAAAAGUAGCAAUAAUAAUAAUAAUAAUAAUAAUAAUAAUAAUAAUAAUAAUAAUCAUCAUCAUCAUCAUAAUAAUAAUAAUACUUAUUAUUAUUAUUAUUAUUAUUAUUAUUAUUAUUAUUGUUGUUGUUGUU
ensembl:lncRNA